AUGGACUGAAAUGCUUCGGUGUGGAGAUCAGACUCGAGCUCCUGUGUGAGUGCUCUGUUACAGUAGCCGAACUACAUUACAGACACAACCAUGCCACGUUCUUCUCUUCUACCUACUGAAGCAGGCUGUUACCGGCCACAUCUGGUGAGUUUUGGUUUGCAUCAUCUGCCAGUGUUGGAGGAAGAGACGCAGGAUCCGUUUCGUCACCAUCUUGCUUCACCCCCUUCUCUUCUGCACUGAUUCGAGGACACUUCAGAAGCACGGGGGAAGGCGCUGGGGAGUCUGUGCCUGUCCAGCUGAGCCUGCGCUUCUGGAAAGAAGCACCUUGGAAGGAACGAGCGGGGGAUGUGGUGACGCUUGAGGCCGUGGAGACAGGUUGAGCAGGGAUCUGAGGAAACCAGAGUUUCAGCAUUACCUCCACCUGCAGCAGAGUGUUCAGGUUUCUCUGCACUGCUGGUGACUUCUGUAACUCUACCUAUCCUCAAACUGUUCAAUUAAACAUGGAACAGGAGAUGAGGCUUGAAAUGAAAGGCAACCUCACUACUCCCUUCUUGUCAUUACUCCCAAUUUAAUAAUUUACCUGCCAAAAUUCAACCAAGAUUUAGUGUUCAGUGAUGCCGAGGCAGGAUAACAAUGAGUGACAGAUAGUAAAAACAAUUGACGGUGGGUGAUGGGACAAUGUGGAUGACAUCUUACCCGCUGUUAGGUCUCUGUAAAACCCCCACAAUCCUCUGGAUUCGAUCCAUGGCAACACUCUGCUGGAAACUACUCAAACCUGUCGAUCAAAAACAUAAUAACCCAGUCACUAUUUGCACUCUGAGACUCCACAGUCACGGAAAACGCAUGCACGUGUAGACAGCCUCUCACUCCCUGGUGCACACACCACUUUCACUUUGUCUUAUCGGGAAACUCUCGUGAGCUGAUGAGUCACACGCUGCACUUUGGACUGCAUCAAUAGGCUGACACAAUACAGACUGCUGCACAAAGCAACACUCGACCGCAAUGGACCGGGGCCACUCAGAUCAUAUGGACCUGUGUUCGGCGUCAACAACUUGUGCUGCAAAUAUGCUCAAGUUAAAAGGAGUGAUGCAAGGAUGCUUACCACGGUCAAAUCUGCCCCUCUUCAGUCCAUUCAGCAGCUCCAGAAGGGGCCGGACGAAACCCUGUAGCUCAGCACACUGACAGAGGAAGAGCAAAGGAAGAUAAAUUACUACUGAGUUU